rnacentral:rRNA from 1 species
GACAGAGGAUGCAAGCGUUAUCCGGAAUCACUGGGCUUAAAGCGUGUGUAGGCGGGAUGGUAAGUACCUUGUGAAAUCCCACAGCUUAACUGUGGAAAUGCUUGGUAUACUGCCGUUCUUGAGUCACCUAGGGGCAGCUGGAACAGAUGGUGGAGCGGUGAAAUGCAUAGAUAUCAUCUGGAACGCCAAUGGUGCAGACAAGCUGCUGGGGGUGUACUGACGCUGAGGCACGAAAGCCAGGGGAGCAAACGGG